GUUCAAUUCUUGCGUCAACAUGUAUGAACACUGGAACAAGACAGAGAAGAUUAGCACGGCCCCUCCGCAAGGAUCAUGUGCAAAUUUAGGAAGCAUUCCGUGUUUUU